GACAGAGGGUGCGAACGUUGUUCGGAAUUACUGGGCGUAAAGCGCGUGUAGGCGGCAACGCAAGUCGGGCGUGAAAUCCCACGGCUCAACCGUGGAAGUGCACUCGAAACUGCGUAGCUAGAGUCCUGGAGAGGAAGGUGGAAUGCUUGGUGUAGAGGUGAAAUUCGUGAGAUAUCAAGCGGAACACCGGUGGCGAAGGCGGCCUUACUGGGACAGUGGACUGACGCUGAGACGCGAAAGCGUGGGGAAGCA
rnacentral:rRNA from 1 species